GUUCGGUCUUCCACCGAUAUCUUCCUCUGCUCUUCUGGUAAAAUAUGGAACUGGAAGAUUGUGAAAUCUCUGCUGUGGUUGCUGAGGCGCUUUUCUGUCAUGUAGAGCUUGUUUUUGCCCGCACACUUUGGAAUAAUCCUAAGUUUCUUCUCUAAUUGUAUUUAUUGCACACUUCCUAUUUUGAUGUGCUGUCCCAUGCUGCAAAUGUGACUGCAGCCGUGCUCCAAACCAGUGGCCAAUUCCUGGAGCUGCUGAUGGGUGUGGAGUGGAAUCCUCUGUCAGUCCUUUGCCAGGCUCCUCCAGCCCCUGGUGGCAUCAUAGCAAGUCGUACAGAAGUUAAUAGCACAAGCAUCUUCUGUGUUUUGGUAGCAGUGAGCCUGUUAAUAGUGGUGGGUCAACAGUUUUUAGGCUUUUAGGAUUAGCUCCAGGCUUAGAAGAGGAUCACAAGUGUCUGAGCUGCAGUCCACAGAUGUAGACAGAGAGGCUACCAUAUGAUACAUGAUCUAAUUUCUCAAGGAUUUUUUAUGGUAUUUUCUUGGGUAUGAAGGUUACAGACUUAAUCCUCAAUCCAUACCCAACUUAUGCAAUCCCUUGUUUAGGCCAAAAUGAAGACUUUUGCUUUAUCAGGUAAAUGAAUGCCUUUGGGUGACAUGACCCAGCCCCCUAAACUUCAUGUUAUUUUAUGGAUUGCCUCCUUGAUGCAUGAUGAGAUGUUGGUGGCACCUCCUGUCCCAGAAGAGCUGCUGAGAUUUGGGGACCAGAGGAGCUCCAGAUGGGAGCAGGAGGCUGCAGUUCAGGAAAUCCUGAAGUCCUGGUAAUUGCUGUGGAACAGAUCCUGGCUUGGACAGAGUGUAGAUUCUUCUGUGGUGUAAAUCUCUUCUGAUUUAUUUGACACUUUGGUUUCAAAACUCCCCUUUUUGGUGUCAGAUGCUUGCUAAAGGCUUUUGCUUCUACAGAUGUGACUCAUUGCAUGCAGAAAGAAAACUGCACUGUGCUCCCUCCUUUCUCAAGGUGGCUCUCUGCCUUGCUGUCUUGCACAGCUCCUUCCAGAAGACCAGUUUUCUGCCUUUGGACCAGCUCUGUGUGCCUCCUUCCCCAGGCCUGGAUCUCAUGGUGGUGCUCAUGCUACAGAAGAUGCUGUGCAGGGAUGAUGAUGGCAACAGGAGCCUGAGAUGUGAAAGCUGCUGAAGCUCCAUGGGCAACAAGUCAGUCCUGUGCUGUCAGCUGGUGUCACCAUGAGGAUGUGAUGGGAGAAGGGUUGGACCUGCAGGACCCUGUGCUGCGUGCACAGCCAUGAAGGUUGUCCUUACCACCGGUCAGUGCAAAUCACUGCAAGACGAUCUCACUGGGUAUCAUCUUGUCCUUGUGCUGCUGCUGCAAAAGAAAGCAGUUGCAAUGGAGUCUGCUUCUCACUUGCUUAGUGCUAAUUUCUCUUUUUUUUUCCCCCUCUACUUCCUGUUCGUUGGUGGUAGAUUGCUGGGGGAGGGCAUCUGCACCAGUAGGAGAUUCAGAGUCUGUAACAGGAGGGAUGGUAUCUGAGUUCUUGUACUUUAGAAGGCUGCAGUAAUCCCCAGCUCAUUACAGCUGGGCUGGUGCAGUGGGAAAUUGGGACAGAUGUUGGACAGAUGGUGACCCUCCGCUGUUGGGAUCACUGCUGCUGGUUGGUAUAAAGCAGUGUUGUGUUUUUUUUUUUUUAAUAUUAGAGUAGGCUGUGAUGCUUCUUUACCAGGGUGGAGAGGCAUCACAUCUGCCAUUCUUUGUUAACAGUACUGUGAUUUGAUCACCCUGGCAGUCUGGUCAUCAGUCCCAUAAACCAAUACUAAUAGCAACACUGGUGCUGUGCCCCACAGAGGGCUUUGGGUUGGCCCUGGGGCCUGUGACCACUGACCGGGUUUUGCUGAUGGGUGACAAAGCCCCUGCCUGGCAGCAAGGGGCUGUAUGAGGAUGCUACUGUCCUGCUCAACUGCAGCGAAACAGGACUGGCUCAGAGAUGGGAGACUUUAUCUCAAGUGAGAAAGCAUCCUGGAGUGAUGAAGGACCGGUGGGUUUUGGGGAGUUCAUUGUUUUAAUGGCAGCGGUGUUACAGGAUUGCAUGUGCUCAGACUGCCCUGCAUUGAGCUGCUCUAUUGAUCAUCGCUUUGAUUCCUGCUGGUUUAUUUACUUGCUUGAUAAUAAUUUGCUUAAUAAAGCCUUGCUGUGGUGAUUACAGAGUCCCAAAACCUUUUGAUUUCCGAUUUCAUUCCCAGCUCCAAAGUCACUGGAGUUUCUGCGUUCCCUUGGAGGAACAGCCUGGGGUUCACUUUGCAUGAAUCGGGGUUAUAUGAGCUGACCUAUGGCUGAUUCAUUGACAGGUACAAGUAGAUGAAGCUGGUGAGAUGAUGCAAGCCCAAGUGCAAUAAAUUUGUAAGGUGAAAAGGGCCAUGUUUCAUCUUCACUGGCCCCUUUUCCCUGCAGGUGUUGUCAGCAAAGGCCUCUCUCUUUUUGUGCAGCUUUCCUUUGUGACAAAGCAUACCAUGCUGAAAUGAAAGUGAGAUCUUCAUCAAAGAGCACAGUGUGUCUUUGGGUGUGAUUUCUUUGUGGGAACAAACGCCUACUGAUUCAUGCAGACACAGUCCUGGGUGAGGAGGACAGCUUCCAUUGCAGCUAUGCAGCACCCAGCUCAACAGGAAUGGAGAAUAACGUCAACAAAAGGAACAGAACUGGACCUUGCCUGAUGCAGACACACUGGGACUUGUCAGAGUUAUCAAAGCUCCCAGAAACGUUGCUCUUAGUACUAGCAGUGUGUGUGCCACUCUUCCUGCAGCAAAGGGAAGCUCAAAGGAAGGCAGCAGGUUUGUCCCAGUGCAACACUGUGCAGCUCCGGUCCCGUGCUGAAACAAAAGUCCCAAUGGUGCAACUGGAAUGGACCUUCAUGCUGCACUUCAGCCCUUCUUCCCAUCCAAACCAAAGUCCUCUGCUUCUCCAAAGGAACAGCCGCCUCUGUAGCUUCUGUGACACCGCCUGGAGGCCGCAGGGAGCUCGGGGCCGUCUGCUGGACUCCUCCUGCUGUCCUGGUGCAGCAGCUCAGAGGACAGCAGUGCCAGUCGUUCCCAUUUCCUCAGAGCUCGGGGAAGAAGAGGAUGGUGUUGGCUUUCAGUGAGAACUGUCCUGCCUUUCUUUACCUCAAACUAGAAGUGGGGUAAAGUAAAUCCUUCAGGCAUACCUUCCAGGGGAGCAGCAGUCACUUCCUCCAGAGGCUGCAUUAAGCACAGCAACAGAUCAGAGCAGAUGUGGCUCAAUGAAACCAUCGUGCAGCUCAGGAUGAGUGAGGUGGCUACAGACAGCUUUGAAUAUGUGUGUGCUUGUGUGUCUGUGUACAAUAUAGCCGAAGAAGCCUCCACUGCUGUUUGUGCUGCAGAACAGAUGACUUGGAAAAGGCUCUCGAAGUUCUGGGACUUCACCCUGACAUGUCCUGGAUUUGAACAUCCCCAGGUCUGGAGGCUGCCUGCUGGCUGGUGUGGGCUUAUCUCUGCAGGAGGCAAGCUGAAGCGCUCCGUGCCAUUGCCAUGCUUUUUAAAUGAGGAGGAGAAGAGGAAAGCUGAAGCCUUUACUCUGCCUGUUGGAUGAAAAUUAUUUGUGGCUGAUGAACAGCUGAGUAGCAAUAUGCAAAUUCCCCUGGAUGUACAUAGAAUGGUCGUCUGUGGCACAGCAGCAUUAGUCUGGCUGUAGGAUGAUUCACAUGCCUGAAGAAUAAAAGAACCUGCUUUCUGGGCUGAAAUACAGAAUGGCUUCCACUGAAGGUGUGUAUAGAAUCAGAGGGCUAUUCCACACCUGUAAACUGGACAACCAUCAUGGUGCCUAUGGGAUCUGUUCAGGCCACAUCUAUUAGGAACCUGGCCUGUGCAGCCCAGAAGACAGCUAGAGAUGGAUGGUGCUGGCGUGCGGCCACUUCGGAAGACAGAGCUGGAUCAGCCUGCCGGGGACAGAGGCAGACAAAUGGAACCUGCAGGACAAGCAUGCCAUUACCUUGUUUGCCA
rnacentral:lncRNA from 1 species